UACGGAGGGGGCUAGCGUUGUCCGGAAUCAUUGGGCGUAAAGCGCGCGUAGGCGGCCCUGUAAGUCCGUUGUGAAAGUCAAAGGCUCAACCUUUGAAAGCCGAUGGAUACUGCAGGGCUAGAGUCCGGAAGAGGCGAGUGGAAUUCCUGGUGAGCGGUGGAAUGCGCAGAGUAUCAGGAGGAACACCGGUGGCGAAGGCGGGUCUCGUGGGCCGAUGACUGACGCUGAGGAGCGAA
rnacentral:rRNA from 1 species